rnacentral:tRNA from 1 species
GGGUCUGUAGCUCAGUGGUUAGAGCAGUCGGCUCAUAACCGAUUGGUCGCUGGUUCAAUCCCAGCCAGACCCACCA